GAUGAACGCUAGCGGGAGGCCUAACACAUGCAAGCCGAGCGGUAUGGAUAGCUUGCUAUCCAGAGAGCGGCGUACGGGUGCGUAACACGUGUGCAACCUACCUUUAUCUGGGGGAUAGCCUUUCGAAAGGAAGAUUAAUACCCCAUAAUAUAAUGAUUGGCAUCAAUUAUUAUUGAAAACUCCGGUGGAUAGAGAUGGGCACGCGCAAGAUUAGAUAGUUGGUGAGGUAACGGCUCACCAAGUCAAUGAUCUUUAGGGGUCCUGAGAGGGAGAUCCCCCACACUGGUACUGAGACACGGACCAGACUCCUACGGGAGGCAGCAGUGAGGAAUAUUGGACAAUGGGUGAGAGCCUGAUCCAGCCAUCCCGCGUGAAGGAUGACGGUCCUAUGGAUUGUAAACUUCUUUUGUACAGGGAUAAACCUACUCUCGUGAGGGUAGCUGAAGGUACUGUACGAAUAAGCACCGGCUAACUCCGUG
rnacentral:rRNA from 1 species